UUAUUCUUAGAGUGUUGCUAACUUUGAAAGCAAAAUGACUGCUCUAGAAAGCAAUGUGAAAGAGCUCAAAGAUCAACAAUCUAAUCUACGAACAACAGCUCAAAAUUUCUCAGGAGAAUUAGAUGUUGUAAAAGUUACAGUUCAAGAAUUGUCUAAUUCUUCUGAAUAAACUUCAAAAUCAUCUGUAAA